rnacentral:rRNA from 1 species
UACGAAGGGGGCUAGCGUUGCUCGGAAUCACUGGGCGUAAAGGGUGCGUAGGCGGGUCUUUAAGUCAGGGGUGAAAUCCUGGAGCUCAACUCCAGAACUGCCUUUGAUACUGAAGAUCUUGAGUUCGGGAGAGGUGAGUGGAACUGCGAGUGUAGAGGUGAAAUUCGUAGAUAUUCGCAAGAACACCAGUGGCGAAGGCGGCUCACUGGCCCGAUACUGACGCUGAGGCACGUAAGCGUGGGGAGCAAACAGG